rnacentral:sRNA from 1 species
GUUGUUUAGAGUUCUGUUAGCACAGCUGUUUCUAGGGUCUGUAAAAACUCUAAGGACCCCGGGGAGGAUACACACCAGACUGGGUCUGGGCUCACACCACCCUGCAUCCCCAGAGCCUCCCUGGACGCUGUUUGCAAAGUCCUCACCGCCUGGAAGUCCAGGAGCCAUUUUUAGGGAACAACAUUCAAGCUCAACACGCUGUGGGCUGGGCCGUCGGAAAACUUUCAGUUUUGUUUCCUUGCCCGCAAGAAACGAAACUCAACCGAAAGACUCCAGAGAGCAGAAGAUGGAAGGAGACUUCUCGGUGUGCAGGAACUGCAAAAGACAUGUAGCCUCUGCCCACUUCACUCUCCAUGAGGCUUACUGCCUGCGGUUCCUGGUCCUGUGUCCGGAGUGUGAGGAGCCUGUCCCCAAGGAAACCAUGGAGGAGCACUGCAAGGUUGAGCACCAGCAGGUGAGGAGGCGGCAGGGAGGAUGGGGUCUGGGAGUCAAGGUGAGUGU